UACGGGGGGAGCAAGCGUUGUUCGGAUUUACUGGGCGUAAAGGCGCGUAGGCGGCUUAACAAGUCACUUGUGAAAUCUCCGGCUUAACUCGGAACGGUCAAGUGAUACUGUCGGACUAGAGUACAGAAGGGGCAACUGGAAUUCUCGGUGUAGCGGUGAAAUGCGUAGAUAUCGAGAGGAACACCUGCGGCGAAGGCGGGUUGCUGGGCUGAUACUGACGCUGAGGCGCGAAAGCCAGGGAGCGAACGGG
rnacentral:rRNA from 1 species